ACUGUUCUACCAUGUAGAGCAACUAAUGUUACUGCCCAUUUAAUGUGGUAUUUACUGGCUAGUUAUUCCAUGUGACUGUCCUGGGAAAGUGGGAAUGAAAGCAGCUUCUCAGCUGUGCACCAGAAAAGCUGGAUAUGGUGUUAAGAAGUAUGCUGUACUGGGGUUUUAUCCCUCACUGCUGAUUAUCAUUCAUUUUUCAUAAUGAUCCCAGCUAAACUUGUGAUCUAACAUUGAUCAGAUUGUUCUUUCCAUCCUGCCUCUGAUGCAGAACUGCACUCAGCUGGUUGUUACCUUUUAAUUUUAGCCAGGAGGGAAAUUCUUCUUUAUAUAUGUUAUUUUUUUAACAAAACUCUCUCAAACAGUAUUUCCACUACUUUGGCUGUGCACACAGGAGCCUGUGCAGCCCCUGGGAUGGGAUAAAUUCCUCUAAAGAAUGUUCUGUCUCUCUGAAGAAGAAACAUUUGCCAAACAGACACGUGCAGUGGUUUAAGCCUUAUUCCCUGGCCUAAUAAAUGUUCUCUGCUGAGUCCUAUUUACUCCAGCAUUCUGCUCUUCCCUGUUACGGAAAAUUUCAAAGCAGAAGUGAAGGUAGUGCAUCCAGUCUGGUAAGAAGGCCUGCCCUACAGGAGCCAAGCACAGGGGAGGAUGAAGAGAGAGAAGACAAUGGGAUUGGGAAAGAACUCCUUCAAUCAAACAAUCUCAGCUGUCACCAGAGAAGGGCAACAGAGGAAGGGUCUGGAGCACGAGACUGAGGAGGAGCAGCUGAAGGAGCUGGGGGUGUUUAUUUGGAGAAAAACAGACUCAGGAUGGACUUUCUUGCUCUCUCAAACUACCUGAAGGAUGUUGUAACCAGGUGGAGGUUGGCCUCUUAUCCCAAGUAACAAUCAAUAGGACAAGAGGAAACAGCCUCAAGUUGCACCAGGGGAGGUUUGGAUUUGAUAUUAGGGAAAAUUACUACACCAAAAAGUUGUCAAGCUCUGGAGUAAGCUGUCCAUGGAAAUAGUGGAACCACCAACCUUCGAGAUAUUUAAAAGCUGUAUAGAUGUGCUCCCUGGGGACAUGGUUUAGUGUUUGAAUUGGCAGUUCUGGGUCAAUAGUUGGACUCAAUGAUCUUAAAGGUCCUUUUCAAUUGAAAUGAUUCUAUGAUUUGAUGUACAUUAAAUUCA